rnacentral:rRNA from 1 species
CAGCCGCCGCGGUAAUACGUAAGGUGCAAGCGUUAAUCGGAAUUACUGGGCGUAAAGCGUGCGCAGGCGGUUCGGAAAGAAAGAUGUGAAAUCCCAGGGCUCAACCUUGGAACUGCAUUUUUAACUACCGGACUAGAGUAUGUCAGAGAGAGGUGGAAUUCCACGUGUAGCAGUGAAAUGCGUAGAUAUGUGGAGGAACACCGAUGGCGAAGGCAGCCUCCUGGGAUAAUACUGACGCUCAUGCACGAAAGCGUGGGGAGCAAACAGGAUUAGAUACCCCCGUAGUCCCUGUCUCUUAUAC